ensembl:lncRNA
GGAGCCUGCUUGGCAUGUUCCAGAACCAGGAAGGAAGCAAAGGCAGGAGCAGAAGUCUAGAGCAAAGCAGAAGGGUGCAGGCUCAGAGGAGCCUUCGUAAGGACUUUGCCUUUCAUUCCAAGUGAGAUCCAGGGCUUUGCAAUGGUUGUGAAAGGGAAAACAGCUUUUAUUGUGAAGGUCCACGGGCUGAAAGAUGCCGGGGAAAUGGAAAGCUGUGAGAAACACGUUUAGGCAGAUUCUUUACCAUCUGAGCCACCAGGGAAGGCCACCAAAAGGCAUUACUUGAUUUAUAUUCUGAAGAAGCCGUUGUUCAGGAGUGAUACCAACUUAUUCAAAAACUGAAAUUAUUCUCUUGGAAUUGCUUAUCCAUUUUAUGAUAGUUUAAAUGAGAUAAAAAGACCAACCUCUCUGAGCAAGCAGAAAUUCUUGAGACCACCUUCAAACUUCAUCUUCAUCAUCAAUGCUCCUGCACCUCUAAUCUGCUGGCCUUUGGACUGAAACCUGGGACACUGGGGCUUUCAGGAAGCAUGGCAGUCUCUUUCAGUUCACAGUGAGAAAUCCAGACUCCCAAAAUUGUGUCCGUUCUGAUACCCACUGAGUGUCCUGGGGUGGCUCACUCACCUUUCCUGGGGUUAUCCUGUGCAUACUGAGGUGAAGAGCACAGCCUGCCAUCUCAGCGAUGGCGUUUACUAGAUAAAUCUUGUAAGGUUCUUUGAAGAUGAGAAGAGUUACACACCCACGCUGUUUUAUUGUUCUAUCUCACAUUUGAUCAUAUUCUUCCUAAAAGAUCUCUGCCAUGAUUGGUGCGCCCUUUGAGUUUUAGUGGCUGGUUUCUGUGGUAGAUUUUAUAUCUCAGUAAAAAGGUUAUAUAAUGUUUUGAUUGUUUGGGGUGAUUUUCCUAGACAUCAAAGACAUAAUUUCUAAAACCUCUAAACUAGUUUCUAUUUGUUUCUUUUAUAUAAGCCGGGACACAACCCCUCCUUCAGGGAUGCUGUACCUUAACCCAGAGAGCCUCUUGGACCAACUGAAAGUGAAGGAUGGCUGGCUCUUCACUCUUCUGUCUAUUGCAGGAGAUAAUUGAUUCACAAUGAUAAGACUAAUUUAAGCUUGAGUCAUCUUCAGUUUUUCCUAAAUUAUAAAGUAUUUUCUUCCUCAUUUCAGAACCUGAGGCAUAGCAGAGAAGUAGUGUGUUACUCACUAUAAAAGGGAAUAAAUUCAAGACCUUUUUACACAUGUAAACCAAAAUUGUUCAUUUUCCCAAAGACUGUUUAACAGUCUGAAUGUGUAUGUGGCAACCUUUGUUUCCCAGAUGUAUAUUAAGUCUUGCAUUUUUCUUUCAGUGUGUGCCAGUAAAAAGAAGAGAGAGCUAAAAGAAUGCUCUUCUUUAUGAUGACGAAGAUGGGAGGGGUAUGAAAAUAUUUGCAAACCAUUCCCAGAUUCUCACAUUCCCAGGGGCAAAAAGCAAUGAAACUUUGGAUCAGAGAGUUCCGCAGAGGCUGCCUAAUUCCUAGCAUUAAUCAGAACCCAGCCCGUACCUCAAUCUCCCCUUCAUGUUUGGCCUAAUGUUCUCUUUCUGCCACCAUCAAUUCAUAUUUUUUGUGUUUCUGACACUGAAAAAUGUGUCAAGAGGAAAGCCUACUAUGGUCAACAAGCAAACAUUAAU